rnacentral:lncRNA from 10 species
GUAAUGUUUUCUUGUCAUAGCUUAGGCCUUCCUGAGUUGUUGGGCAUCUGGGAUUUUUACAGGGUCUGUGGCCUUGGGGUUGUUCUGAAAGGGAAUUUGAAAUGAGAACUGAUCUCAUUCCAAGGAGUCAAGCAUAAUGCAAUACUUGUUUUCCUAGAGUCAAUCAGCCUAGGGAAAAUGCGAGUAGGCUGGAAGCGGGGAGGAGGAGGAGUCUGAGAGUUUGAGUAAUCAACUUAACCCAGGGGUAAAAAGAAUUUUAUUAUAGAAAGCAGCACACAUGACCUCUGUCCUUCCAGCUGCCACCAGUUUCUGGGUUGUCGAGUGAUACCCUGAAAGUUUACAGUCAACACUCCUUGUGUGGGGUCAGUCCUAGAAAUGGCGACGCUGCUCUCCGAAGAUAGGAAAGAAAAGGACCUCAUUCCAUUGAGCCAUUGACCGAAAUAUUUUCUCAACAAAGUUGAACUGAGCUGAAACUGUGUGAAUCAUGGCAAUACAGUGAAAGACAGUGAUUUACUGCUUUUGAGGGCGUGCAUGUAUAUGAUUAACGGAUGGAAGUGCAGGACUCCAAGAUUUACUUCCUUCCCUUUCCAGCAGAAUUACCUGAGACGAGUAAAAUCUACUGGUGGAGUCACUCCAUUAUUCUUAUCUGUGGAGAUCUAGAUCUUGAUUUGAAAGUUUCUGAGAAAAUCUUCAGCUCAGACUUGAGGGUCAACUUUACCAGCUGAAGGAUCUGCAUUUACUGCUCAACCACAUCUAAUUUGAUGUCCUCUGCAGAUUUAAAAUGUGUGCCUUCUUUUCCGUCACCAAGUCAUCCCUGGGUUACUACUGAACAUCCUUCUCAAUUCCCCCCGACCCAUGGAUGGCUGUUCUCCAUUGUCUGUUUCACCAGAUGUCCUCAAAACAAACAGACAGAAGAAGGAAGUGGCUAAUGGAGCUGUGGAGUCCAAGUGUGACUGCCAAGAGGAAUCCAGCAAAGCCAAAAAGCCCAAGCAUGUAGCCCUGCCCGAAGCACGCCACACGCAUGGAAAACCCAGAGGAAAUGAGUGAGGAUCAAUGGGAAGAAGAGAGCCAGCCAGGUUCGAUGCCUUCUCCAUCCGUCAGUGAGGGUGUGGAGAGCCUGCAGGCGUGUGCCUCCCUCUGUAACUUGCUAUUCCUUGUGUAAUGUCAAGUGGAAGUGUGAAGCACCACAAACUGCUCUGAGCAGAGCCCACUUCCCUUCACCCACGGAGAGCGUGAAGCAGUUACACCAACAUCAAUCAAGGAAAACCCACAGGCUGAGCUCACACGGUUGAAGCAGGAAGUUGAAGAUUUGUCCAGGAGCAGAUAGCUGAAGAGAGAGAGAGAGAAGAGAGAACGGCUUACAGCUCAGGUCCUCUCUCCAUGCUUAGGAACCACUACAAAUGCUACUGCCUUGAGUCUCAUUUUGUUUCCCUCUGGAAACCACAUGUGUACCUUGUUUGCAACAGUAUGGUUCUGGAGACCAGAAGGCCAAAAUCAAAAGUAUGGGCAGGCUUGAUUUCUUUAGAAGACUCCAGCGGAGAACUGUGUCUCCUUGCUUCUGAUUCUACAUCUCCAUCCAUGGGCCACUGUUUCAGCAACCUCAGCCAGUGCAACACAACCUCAGCCAAGAAGAGUAUGCAGAGAAAGGAGUCCCCUACCUGCCACAAAACUGUUGUCUGAAAACUGUCUCAUAUUGUCUCAAGUUGUCAUUCAUUGUGAAUUAGACCUGUUUAACAUGUAAUCUGCAACAUGCUUCACUGUCUAAUUUUCCAGAGCCCCUCAUAUAAGGAACUGUAUUAUUGGUAUAAUCAUCAUGGUGAAGAAGUUGGUAUGUGGGGGAGAGAUGACAGAAACAGAGAGUAAGUCAGAGCUGGCUGCCUGACAGAUAAAAAGGAAAUGACCAAAAAAAAAAAAAAAGACACAGAAGAAUACUUUGUUGUCCACACAGAAAAGGGAAGUGUAGGUAAGACAGCAGUAGACUAAGAUUCUUAAGACUCAAGUUCUAGUCUUAUUUAUUAGCUAUGGGAGGCCUUGAGGGAGUUCUAGAAUUAAGUGAUCUCUCUUUAUAAAAUAGGAACAGUAAUAACUUCCUGGCUAACUCCCUGGCUGUCUCACAAUGCUGUAGUAGUAAGAAAUAAUUUUAUAAUUAAAGACUAUUUUAGGGCUGAUUACAUUUUUGGGCAGUGGCUCAUACAUGUAAUUUCAACAUUUUGGGAGGCCAAGGUGGGCGGAUUGCUUGAGCCCAGGAAUUCAAGACCAGGCUGGGCAACACAGACCUUGUCACUACAAAAGAAAAAAACAUUAGCUAGGCGUGGUGAUGUAUGCCUGUGGUCCCAGCUACUCAGGAAGCUGAGACAGGAGGAUCACCUGAGCCUGGGAGGUCGAGGCUACAGUGAGCCAUGAUCACACUACUGCACUCCAGCCUGGGAAACAGAGUGAGACUCUGUCUCAAAAAAAAAAAAAAAGGAAUAUUUUACACUUCAAGGUUCUAUACAAAUGUAAAAUAUCAUUCUAUUACUUAUUUAUAAUGCUGAUUAUUCUUUAAAUGACUUUAAAAUGUUAAUCUCUGCUUGAGCCUACGGAGAAGUAUGUAACAAAUUUGUGAAGGAUUGGCAUUAAACAUAGUCAAAAUAAAACAUAGAAAUUAUGGUAAAUAAUUUAACUGGUAAAAUAAUCUAAGUGGUAGUUCUCAGGUAAGUGGAAAUUCGAUUAGCUGAUUGUUUAGGAUUCUUGGUUAUAAGUGACAGAGACCUGACUAAAAGUACAUGAAGCACAUAACUGAGAAGGUUGUGGUAUGGCUCAGCAGAAAUGGGAAAAUCUUGGGACUGGUUCGUGUUUUAUUUACAUUAUCUUUGUUCCCAGGCAGUCUCUGCAUGUAAGUGGCAAAGAUGACUGUCUGAAAAUAUAUACCUACUUUUUUAAAGGGCUAUCUCAAGCCAUUCUGGAGAAGCACCAAAAGCCACUUUGCUUAUACUGGGAGAAUAGUUUGCUUUCCCUAAUUUGUGAUGAGUGAAACACUGAACAGAGACAUAGAAUAAUAUUCUGUAGUUCAGGGUUGGUGUAAUAUGGCCAGUGGGCGGAAUCUGGUCCUCAGACUGAUUUUGCAAAUAAUCUUAUAGAAACACAGCAACACCCAUUCAUUACAUGUUGUUUAUGGUUGCUUUGGGGUUACAAUGGCAGAGUUGAGUAGUUGUGACAGAGAUCACUAGGCUCACCACAUCUGAGAUAUGUACUGACUGACCCUGUACAGAAAGUUUGCUGCUCUUAGAGGAAUGUGUGUUUCUAGUGUCAGCAAUAAACUUCUUGGAUUUGUUUUGUUUUCUCAUCUUUACAUGAUAGUUGCAGACUAGUUGAUCCUUGUGACCUGUUUUUGAAUGCCACUGUGUAUUCUGUCAGGGCCCUCUGAUUCUGUUUCUUAUGGUGCUGAAUGCACAAUUUAAUGCCCUGGAAUUUCCUUCUGUCUUCUGCUAAACUCAUGCCUCUUCAGAUAGUUAAAAUCCUGUUCUACCUUAGAAGUCUCCAGAGUUAUUUUCCUAAAUUAAGAAGAACUGGCUUUGAAGUUACUCAUUAUGCCACACACAAUGGUUGAAAAGAGCAUCUCUUAUGUACUGUGUAUAUUUCAGCAUCCACUCAGCUUCUUAGGUAGAAAAGGAAGAGUCUUCCACAGUGUAUUUUAUCCAUAUUUGGGUCAGAAACUCUUCUUUACCACGGAGCGUGAUGGAAGAAAGAUAUGGGAUGGUAACAGUAGGCCAGGGAUGUAAUAAUCACAAAAUUUGAGAUAUUUUGUGACUGGUGACUCACGCCUGUGAUCCCAGCAUUUUGGGAGGCCAAAGCGGGCGGAUCACCUGAGGUCAGGAGUUCAAGACCAGCUUGGCCAAUGUAGUGAAACCUCAUCUCUACUAAAAAAAUAUAAAAAUUAGCUGGGUGUGGUGGUGCACACCUGUAAUCCUAGCUACUCAGGAGGCUGAGGCAGGAGAAUAGCUUGAACCAAGGAGGUGGAGGUUGCAGUGAGCUGAGAUUGUGCCACCACUGCAUUCCAGUCUGGGUGACAGAGCGAGACUCUGUCUCAAAAAAAAAAAAAAAAAAAAUCUAGAAAAAGAUCUCCAAGAUUCAAUCAUCUAAUUAUUUCUUUUAAAAAUGAGAAAAAUGACUCCUGGUCAGCUUUUACCUUCUUUUUCCAACUGUCUUGACAAUACUUUCAUAUUGGGCUUUUAAAGUCUCAAGUAAUAGGUUUUUAAAACCUCAGCUGAUAAAAGUAUAAAAAUAAAGUUAAAACAUAUUAAAGACAAAACCCAAGAAUCAGCUUCCUCUUCCUUCAUUACUCUUGCAUGGGUGUUGGCUCUAAUUUCUCCAUCUAGUUAGGCAGUCCUUUGCUUUUUAUUGCUUGUUUAUUGAUGACAUUUGCCAUUUGUAGCAAUAGUAAUAGAAUCAUCUAUAUAUUUGUGGCCUUGUUGAAUGUAGAAAAAGGAUAGUGGCAUUUUCUAAUUGUGUAACCCUAUAACACCUUGACGGGGGACUACAGUUCAUAUGCUGGACCUUUUGUGUUUGUUCAUGGCGGGUGGGUUGCUUUAAUAUACUUAGCACAUUGUCCUAAUUGCCAUCCUUUUGGGGAGGGCUAUAUAUCCAAGCUAAUAUGGUAGCAUUUUUGUUUUAACAUAGAGCUGACCCAAGGUAGACGUAAGUGUUGUUCAUUUUUGCCUAAUACUAAUAAAAUUACCUAAUUGUUGAAGCUUGGAGCUUGAAUCUAGGCAUUUUAUUUCAUUUCAAGUACACCCUAGUAUUUUAAAGCAUAAAUAUCCUACUAUCCUCAACAACUUUAGAACAAAAAUAAAUAUUUUAACAAGAAAAAAGCAUGCCAUGACAAGCUGUAACUUAGUAAAGAAAGACAAGGAAUGGUCUCUAUAGACCGAGAAAAAAUAGGUCCUCAGAUAUAUUUAUACCAAAGGAAUGUUAUGAAUGUAAAAAACAGUUUGACUCCCCCCCCCCCGCCAAAAAAAAACUCCACAACCCUAUAUUUUGUUAUCACAAGACUGUUUUAGUGAAUAAAACAGUAUGAAUUGGUUUUACCUGUUUCCAUUUAAUACUUAUUAACUUUAUAAUCGUAUAGCCUGAGGGUUUUAACUUCAAGUACAGCAUGAUGACUAUAAUAGUUUUACACAAGGCAAAUGUGAAAAACAGAAGUAAUUUCUUUUAAAAAGUGUGAAAUAUCUAAAAGGUAUGACUUCAAUACAUCAACUCAGGUGAGACAGACAUGUAACUUCUUUUUCCAUGUUUAAACCUAAUAUUGCUUUUGUGCCUCUGAAGGCUCGGAGUUUCCAUGCCUUCUUAGGACAUGCCACCCUCUCCACACCUGGAUGUGUUCACCAACCCAGAAGCUCUUGGAACCCCAUCAUUUGGGGUUUUUAUGGAGUCCCCAUUAAGUAGGUAUGACUGAUUAAAUCACUGGCCAUUGGUGGUUGACUCAAUCUCCAGCCUCUCUUCCCUCUCUGAAGGUGAAGGGGUGGGAAGGUGAGGCUAAGUUCCAACCCUCGGAUCACAGGGUUGGUUCCUCUGCAACCAGGCUUCAUCGUGAAACAAUACAGGGCCCACCGAGAGUCACCCCAUUAGCAAACUCAGAUGUGAUUGAAAGGGGCUUAUUAUGAAUAUCAAAAGACAUUUCUCUUUCUCCUAUUACUCAGACAGUUACAAGGGUUUCAGAAGCUCUUGCACCAGGAACUGGGAACAAAGACCAAAUAUAUAUGUCUUCUUCUAUUACAAUGUCACAGGUGUGACAGAGUAGGUAAAUGGAGUCUCAGAGAGUCCCCAGAGUAUUCCAUGGAGCCACAAAAUGAAGAAUAAAUGGAUGGUUCUCCCCAUGAUCAAAAGUGGCCUGAAAAUACUUGAGAAUGAGUCAUAACUUAAAAGGCUGUAUAGUAGAAAAGAAUGCACAGAGGACCGAAUGUAAAAGAAGGCACCCCAGUCUCAGCUAGUGUGGAUGCAUGCCAGUGUAGAAAGAUGCUAGUGUGGCUACAUUGGUGCACUGAAGACCAAACUCCUGCAUGGCCCCACAUCCUUGAUACCUUAGAUCUAUAUCAUCCCCUAAAACUUAGGUGUUAUGACAUUCAGGAUAUGCUACCCCAUCAUUUUUUAGGCUGAAGGAAUUUGAGAAAACAGAAGCAGGAAUGUAAUUGCCCAGUGGGUUCUUCCUGCCCUGUGCACAGACAAAACCAGUUCACUGAGACCAUGGUAUUGCAGUUAAGAAAGAGUUUAACAGGAGGCUGGCCACAUGGAAGAAUUACAGUUAUUACAAAUUAGUCUCCCUGAAGGCUCAGAGGUCAGGGUUUUUCAUGGAUAGUUCGGUGAGCAGUGGAUUAGGGGUAAGUGCUGCUGAUUGGUUGGGGAUACAAUCAUAGGGGUGUGGAAAAUGGUCCUUGUGUGCUGAGUCACCUCUGGGUGGGAGGCCAUGGGACCCAUUGAGUCAUGAGUCACGAGGCUGGGUUGGGUCAGUGUGAAAAACAUCUCAAAAGACCAAUCUUAGGUUCAAAAUAGGUGAUAUUACCUGUAGGAGCAAUUGGGAAAGUUAUAAAUUAUAUGACCUCUUGGCCCCAUGACUUCUGAGCAGUAAGAGAUGAUAGAAACUAAACCUACAUUUUAUCAGCACUCAGGCCUCUUCCAUAAUCCUAAUCUUGUGGCCUUUCGUUAGUCUUAUAAAGGUGGUUUGGUAACUGCCCUCAAGCAAGGAGGGGAUCAGUUUUAGGGAGGUGCUAUUAUCAUCCUUGCUUCAAAGUUAAGCUGUAAACUAAAUUCCUCCCAUAAUUAGCUUGGCCUACACCCAGAAAUGAGCAAAGACAGCCAGCCUGUGAUGUUAGAAGCAAGAUGGAGUUAGUCAUGUUAGAUUUCUCUCACUGUCAUAAUCUUUGCAAGGGAGGUUCCAGGAAGGUCAUCCUACCUUUCCCCUCACCCUUCUCAUGUGACACAGGUCAUAAAGCCUAGGAAGGAUUUUCCGACCUUUCCCUGAAGCAGGUCGUAAGACCCUCAUUGGGGAGGUGCCAUUUCUAGACCAAGAGAAAAGGCACAUCCUUAUGUCUGAAGACACAGGGACACAGAGAAGAAUCUGAACAAACAGGUCUUGCUAAGUUCCCCCCAGUUUGUUUUCAUUAGAUCAUGCCCCUUUAUUCAAUGCUGUUUCUCCACAACUAUCCAUUUCUUCAUCAAGCCUAGCAUAAAAAAUACAGGUUUCACGGUUUCUUUGGGUCUUCAUUUCCUUAUAAAGUCUCCUGUACCAUGUAAAACUUAAAUAAGUUUCUCUGCUUUUCUCUUGUUGAUUCUGUCCUUUGUUUUAUAACCCUCAGACAUGAACCUAGUGAUGAGUGAGGGGAAGAUAAUUUAUUUUCCUCUACAGAUGCAAAAGGGAAAAGGGAACAAUCCCUAAACGGAAGUUAUGAUCCAGGGAUCAGAGGCUCAAAAGCAAGAUUAGGUUUAAAUGUAGAAAAAUACAUUCCUCUUUCAUUUUAGAUAUCCCAAAUGCCCAAAUCAACCCAGCUAUUUCUCAGAAGUCUGUUUCCCCUCCACCCUCUGCUCCUCUGUGUAGUGAAACUGUCUCGUUUGGGAGUAAAAUGGCCUGGCUUUCCUUACUGAGUAUACUCUCAAGACUAUUGCCUAUUACUUUUUUCCAUUCCUUCUUGAGAACUACGCUUUUUAAAACAAGAAUUGACUCCAUUUAUCUUUUUCUUUUAGCCUUCUGCUGGGGUAUGCCUUCUCUAAAGCAAUGAAUAAAAAAUGCUUUAGCUGAAUAAAUGGGGCAAGGAUCAAGGAGUACAAGCUAAUAUUUCACAAUAUUAUCCUGCCAUAAAUAAAAGUAUGGUUUAAAUGACAAUGGUGGGGUUAGGAGUUACAGGUCACUGAAACACCACCUUAUUCAUGCUACCAGCCCCUUGGCUUUCCUGAUGGCAGCAGGGAAGCAACACAUAGGUAGAAUUAUGAGCCAACAUCGUGACUGGAGAGGGAUUGAAAAUCUUAUUUGUUGUCUUCCUAGACUAUUACAGUUAUCUGUUGAAAUUAGACUCAAUUCUUUGGCGAAAGUACUCAUUUUUAAGGUCCAUAAUAAAUUGUAACUAUGUAGCCUUUGUUGCAUGAGUUUAGUAUGAGCUGAUUGGUGGGCCACAGUGAAAGGCAGAGGGAAAUGGAUGUUAACUAAGAGGUAGAAGUCCCCUUGAAGUUCUGACCCUGUCACUAAUGAAGUCUUUAUUUCCGUAUUUAGUAAUUGCCUUUUUUUUUUUUUUUUGAGACAGAGUCUUGCUCUGUCGCCAGGAUGGGGUACAGUGGCACAGUAUCUGCUCACUGCAACCUCCGCCUCCCAGGUUCAAGCAGUUCCCCUGCCUCAGCUUCCUGAAUAGCUGGGACUACAGGUGUCUGCCGCCAUGCCUGGCUAAUUUUUGUAUUUUUAGUAGAGACGGGGUUUCACUAUGUUGGCCAGGAUGGUCUCGAUCUCCUGACCUCGUGAUCUGCCCACCUCAGCCUCCCAAAGCUAGGAUUACAGACGUGAGCCACCAUGCCCGGCCAACUGCCUUCUUUAUAUCUCAUUUUAAAAAUUUAUAACAAAGAAGUGGGUUGAUUUUCAAGACCUAGUUGUGUUAGUUUGAAUGAGAUGCAUACAUUUGGCAAGUCUGGGGUCUAAGAAAAGAUAAAGAUCUGAAUGCUGAAAAUCUAGAGAAUUCAGGUUACUGGGGGAUAACUUAAAGUCACUAGGGAAUUCGGGUUACUGGGGGGAUAACUUAAGGUCACUAGGGAAUUCGGGUUACUGGGGGGAUAACUUAAGGUCACUAGAACCCAAAUGCAGGGAAGAGUUGGGUGCUCUUUGGCAAAUAAACAUUCCUGACUUAGCAUUUUUCUUAAACCCGAACGUGCCAGCUGUUUUUUUGUUUUUUUGUUUUUUUGUUUUGUGACCUCAGCCAGGCUUGCGUGUUUAUUCAUCACAUAUUCUAAGCUCAUAUACAACUGUGACCUGAUCCAGCCUUCAAGGAACUCACUCUUGAUUUUAGGAAUCUUUCCACCACUUCGAUUUCAUCUUACUCCUGAAACAGUCAGCCAGAACUGUCUAAUUCAGUCUAUACUUCUGAUACAAAACUCUACCCAGCAACCACUAUGGUUUUGUUGCUUUAGGUACGUGUUAGAAAGCACCCACAUCAAUUUACAGAAAAUCCUUAACUGAAUCUCUAGUCCCAGAGGAGUCAUAUUUUAUUAUAUGGUGCUUUUUAUUUAAAGAGAUCGGUUUAAUAGAAAUUACUCAGGCAUUUGAAGUGAUAGCUUUAAAAUGUGGGACUGGGGAAAAUAAGAACACUUGACCUCUCUCCAUAAAAUUGAAUUGUUCUUUAGGUUUAAAGUUUUGACAGACAAAGAGAAAGUGAGAGCAAGUGAGGGUGAAAAUAUAUCCUUAUUUGGUAAUGAGUACCCAUUAAGAGGACAGUAUAUUACAUUUCAUCUUCUUACUUCACAUUCCUGUUUUAAGGAUUUGUGAGCAAAGUGCUGUGAGACCUCUAGAGUUAAGAGGCUGGAGAUAGGUAGUUUUGAUGGUAUUUUAAGGAGUGCUCCAUAAUGUGUAGUGUCUGAGUGCUGAAGCUUAAUCAGCUUCAAUUAAAUCCAAAACAUACUGAAUAGCUCCUAUGUGUCUGGCAUUGAGCUGUGUGCCAAAGUGGUGGAAAGAUGUAAGAGCCACUGAGGCUUAGAGAUGAAAAGGAUCUUGGAGCCACUGGUUUCCUGCCUGCUGGAGUUUCACCAUCAAGGACCCUUUCGUUAUUUUCCUUCUCCCAUGCAUUUUAUUAAAAUUUUUGGUUUAGUAAACCAAAUUCACUAAUGGGAUGUUAUUUUCAUAUCAAAGAGUAUAAUUCUGCCAAUCAAGGCUUCUGAUCAGCAUAAAAUAAUUAGGUUUCAUACUGAAUGCACAAAUUCUAGUCAAAAGCAAAGCCAUUUGAUGACAUGUCUGCUAUGUUGCCAUUUGCUUUAAGAGAGGUAAAGGUAGCCUGACUUCUGUUCACUCUGUAGUACAGAAUACAUUGUUAACAAGUCAUAGGUAUGUUCUUUUAGGUUUCUAAUUACUGUCAGCCUCUCAUUUCAGACAGGUGAUGUGAUAAGGUGAAAUGAUUACUAUAUUUAGACUCAAAAGUCCUGAGUUUGAGUCCUCGUUUAACGAUCUAGUCCAUGAGCUUCAGUUUUCUCACCUGUUAAAUGGAAAUGAUGAUUAUUUCCUGGAAAUUGCAUUUCCAGGUUGUUUUGAAUGAUAAAUGAUAUGGUGUAUAUAUCAGCUGUUUGCAAACCAGAAAAAGCUAUUCUAUGGUAAACACAUGCAGUGGGCUGAAUUGUGUCUCCCAAAAUUCAUAUGUUGAAGUCCUCACCCCCAGGGCCUCAGAAUGUGACUGUAUUUGGAUCUAGGGUCUUCAAGAGAUAACUAAGUUAGAAUGAGGUCAUUUGGGUUGAUCCUAAUCCAACUGACUGAUAUCCUUAUAAGACGACGAAAUUUGGAUACAGAAAUACACAGAAGACAGGGAGAAGAUGGCCAUCUACAAGCUAAGGAGAGAGGCCUCAGAAGAAACACACCUGCCACACCUUGAAUUUGGACUUCUAGCCAUCAGAACUGUGGGAAAAUAAAUUUCUGUUGUUUAAGCCAGGAGUCCUCAACCCCCGGGCUGUGGACCUGUACCAGUCGGUGGCAUGUUAAGGACUGGGCUCCACAGCAGGAGGUGAGUGGUGGGCGAGUGAGCAUUACUGCCUGAGCUCCACCUCCCGUCAGAUCAGCAGUGGCAUUAGAUUCUCAUAGGAGCACAAACCCUAUUGUAAACUGAGCACGCAAGGGAUCUAGGUUGUGCGCUCCUUACGAGAAUCUAAUGCCUGAUAAUCUGAGAUUGAACAGUUUUAUCCCCAAACCAUCCCCUCCACCACCCCCGUGGUCUGUGGAAAAAUUGUCUUCCACAAAACUGGUCCCUGGUGCCGAAAAGGUUAGGGACCAGCGGCUCAAGCCACCCAGCCUGUGGUACUUUGUUACGGUAGCCCUGGCAAAUGAAUACAACACGUUUUAGACUAUGAUGUUACACAUGCAGUGUGUUGAGAGCCAAAGAACCCAAAUGAUUCGUGGUAUCUGCCCUUGAAGAGUUUUUAAUCUUUUUGGGCAUGAUGAAACAUACACAUGGAAAAUAAAAUAGCAUAUAACCAAGUGCCCAAAUCAGUAAUAAAUACAGUUGACUCCAUAAACAUUUAGGAACCUUCUAUCCCAUGUUUCCACAUUCUAUCCCAGUGGCUUUUGCCACUAAAUUUCUUCACCCACUAUUAGACUGAUGUUUUCAUCUUUCAGUAUCAGACUCAAGCUUUAAUCUAGAAAGAGGGGGUGGGGGGAUAAAUGCUAUACUUUGGAACCAGUCCGGAUAUUUUAAGUAUGUUUUUAAAAAGUAUAAUCCUCACAACAUGAAAGUUAUUAGUUCUAUUUUUCAGGUGAGAAGAGUUAAGGUCAAACAGACGAAAGCUAGUUAGUGGAGGGACUGGUAUUCCAAGCCCAUUCUGGUUAAACUAAAUCUUGUGUUCUUUCCACUAGAAAACUGCUUUUUGUCUUAAUUAUAAUUUUGUGACAAGGAUGUAUAGUCCAUUAAGGAAUAUAUACAACAGAAGAAGCAUUUAAGUGGACUUGAGGUUUGUGAAUCUGAACUAGUUUCUAUCGACUUUCACAUCAGCAGCUCCUAUUCUGGGGAAAGAGAAUGGAGGCUGGGAGUGAUCCUGACAAACCUUGAUGUGCAGGCUUGUGGAGAAACUGGAUUCACACCCAGGCUCGUGGAGUGUGGGAGAGGCUGGCCUGUCACAAUAUCAGGACAGCCUCUCUUAAUAACACUGCAGAAGGAAUCGAGGGCCCUGUGGUUUGCGGUCAGUGUGCCUCUUGUGCCAACUUUGGCACUACAAUGUCUUCAAUCACAUUAUCUUCCAAACCGGCUCUUCAUCCUAUGUCCUUAUUUCUGCUAAUGGUAUUCAUUUCUCUUAUUCAUGGACUCUGGGAAUCUUGGUGGUAUUAAAACCUGUCUCUUCUUUCCCCCUCGAUCUUCCACAUUCCAUUUCCUUUCAGCAGAAUCCCAAGCCUUCACCAUUUUUCAUUUUUGGUGCUGUUUCAGAGUUGCUGUGAACUUUACCUGGGUCCUCUAUCACCUUACCCAGCCAUUUGUCAUUCUGCCUGGUAAAGGGUUGAGCAGAUUUAUCUAUAUGAAUGAUCUUAUUUAAGCUAUUCUGUACACCUUCUGCUACUUAAACAGGCUCUAUGCUUCCACAUCUGCUCUCUAUCUGCCUAUGUGACUCAAACUUCAAUUGUCCAUCUCAGACAUCACAUCCUCCAUGAAGCCCUCUUGGGUUAUUUGAAGUAAUCUCUCUUCUGGGCUCUCAUAGCAUUACUGCUUGUAACUCUUUCAAAAGAUGAAUUUUGUGCUGUUGUUUACUUAAUGAGUACAAAUUUAGUGAUAAAUUUGAAAAACUUGUGUCCAUGUUUGAUAAAUAUGAAAAUCUCAUCAUUUUCAAUAUUUCUUAGAAUUUCAAAAUGUACUAAAUAUUAUUAAAAACCAAUCAUGGCAAUUUUAACAUUGAGUAUUCUUUUUUGAAAUAUGAAUGCUCCUCUCUCAAGACUGGUAUACUUUCUCACUCUACUCCCUUUUCAAGUGCCCUUAUCGAACUUUGCUGAUGAAAUCAUCUUUUCUUAGUUUGUUAGACUUUGGAUGGUGGAGACCUGUGCCUGCUACUUCUCUCAUCUCCUGAUACCUAAUGCAUAGUGUUCACUGCCUUUUCAGAAGGCAAUAAAAAGGGUUUGUUCGAUUUCUCUCUUCUGGAUCUUCUGGAUUAUCAGCGCUCCUUACUGGCUUAACCAAACACAAACAUGAAACAACUUGGAAAGGAUCACAAAAUAAAAGAUUGCAGUGUGUCUGCUGUGGACUGAACCCUCCUCAUCAUUUGGCAAUCCAUUGCUGACAGUCGUUCUGGGCUUCCCAAUCACUGCUGGAGUACUUCAGCCCUUUAUGCCUAAGGCUGCAGCGACAGGCAUAAAGCUCUCCUCCAGGCCCUGGAUUCCAUUUUUCCUUCCCUUCUGUAACCUCGCAGUGGCACCGAGGAAGAGAACCAAUGGCAGAGGCCACAUGUGCAAGCAAGAUGGGAGUCUGGAGAGCCUCAGGCUAAAUCACGAGUGCUCAGCCCUCUCCUCUUUGUAAGGGCAACCGGGUCAUAUCUGCCAGCAUAGAACUGCUCUGUCCACAGCCCUAAAAUCUAAUACCUAGAACAAUAAAUGCACUUAAGCACGUCAAACUCUCUCAACCAGUGAUGAAAUCUGUCACUAGCGAAGGGACUUGUCCCAAGGGAGCUGAACACCUGCCGCUGCACCCUGACAAUGUAUAAGAAACAAGCACCACUGUGGAUGCAGCCCCAGAGGCCUAGUGUCAUGGGGGUGCAAGGCCCUGCUUCAGGCUGGGGGCCUGGGGAGGGGCUGGUACCUCUCUACCUCCUGCAGCUCCUGUUCCUCUGGCUCCUGGUGAAAAUCUGGGUCUGAACCCAUAGCAAGUGAGGGCCACAAGGCUUCACCUUCUGAGAUGCAGCUAGAAGAAACAGCUGGUAUAAUAUAUGGUCAUGCACAGUGUACUCCUUCUGCAUCUAUGUGUCAACUGCAAAACAACCUCAGGCAGGUCCUUCAGGAGGUAUUCCAGAGGAAGGCAAUGUAAUCACAGAUGACAGCUCUAUGCAGGUUAUCACCCCUGAAGACCUUCUACUGGGACAAGAUGUGGAGGUAGAAGACAGUAAUAUUGAUGAUCCUGACCCUGUGUAAGCCUAGGCUAAUGCAUAUGUGUGCUGUGUCUUAGUUUUUACCAAAAAGUUUAAAAAGUAAAAUAAAAAUAGGAAAUAGCUUAUGGAAUAAGGAUAUAAAGAAACCAUUUUUGUACAGCUGUACAUGUGUUUGUGUUUUCAGCUGUGUUAUUACAAAAAGGUCAAACUUUAAAAAUAAACAAGUUUAUAAAGUAAAAAGAUUUCAGUAAAGUACAGUAAGGUUAAUUUAUGGUUGAAGAAAAACAUUUUAAAAAUAAAUUUAGUGUAGCCUAAGUGUCCAGUGUUUCUAAAGUCUACAGUAGCGUGCAGUCAUGUCCUAGGCCUUCACGUUCACUCACCACUCACUCACUGACUCACCCAGAGCAAAUUCCUGUCCUGCAAGCUCCAUUCAUGGUAAGUGCCCUACACAGGUGUACCAUUUUAACCUUUUACAUCAUAUUUUUAUUGUACUUUAAACAUAUCUACAUUUACAUGUUUAGAUACAUAGGUGUUUACCAUUGUGCUACAAUUGCCUAUGGUAUUCAGUACAGUAACACGCUGUACAGGUUUGUAGCCUAGGAGUGAUAGCCUAUACCAUACAGACUAGGUGUGGUAGGUUGUACCAUCUAGGUUUAAGUAAGUAUACUCUAUGAUGUUCCCACAACAACAGAAUUGCUGAAUGAAGCAUUUCUCAGAAUAUAUCCCCAUGGUUAAGCAACCAAUGAGUGUAUUUUCUGUCUACCUUUCACCUCCAUAAUAUAUAUAUUUUUCUACAUUUCUCAUGGUAGAGGGAAAGAGCAACAGGACUUCCAGAAAAAAAACUAAUGUGUCUUCAGACUUCUGCUUGUAUGUGGCUCAUGUUAUAUCUGAGCGUAUGCUACUGGACAAAGUGAGUCACAUAGCCAAGGCUUACAAUGGGAUGGGGAAGCAUACUUCAUUUCUGUGAAGGCACUCUAAGUCACAUGGCAUCAGUGGGGUCAUCUUGUUCUUUUAUAGUGAAGAGGGGAGUAAAUAAUAGAGGACAAUAAUACAGUCCACCAAAGAUACUGAGGCCAAUUAUAUCCAAAAAGCAAGAUCAGUUUGGUGGAAUGACUUACUAAUGCACUGAGAUGCCCAUAUGCCCAUAUUCCCUGCCAAACAGUCUAAAUGGAAAACUAGAAUCCUAAUUAAAAUGAGAAAAGGCGUGUCACAAAGCUUCCUUUAUUGUAGAGCAGUUGAGUUGUGAUGUUCGUUACUAGAUUUUUUUUAUUAGCCUGUUGUUAGUUGUAUGUAUGCCUUCUAUUUAUUAAGCACUUAUUAUGAGCCAAGCAUAGUAGUAAACCUUUUUCUGACCUUAUUUAAACCUAUCAACAGUCUCAAGUUGGAACUAGGUCUCUUUCCAUUUACAGAUAAAAAUAUUAAAGGACAGAAUAACUAAGCAACUUGCCCAAAGUCACAGGUCCCUGCUCUUAUCUGCUAUAUUUUCUUUCUCUAUUUUUCUUUUUCGUGUAAUACAGAAAGCCCAUGAUCAUCCUGAUGCCUCCUCUGUGUGGAUAUCGCAGGAAUGGCAACUUACGACCUUAUGAAGUAGUUUAUUCUAAUUUAGGGUAGCUCAAAUUACUAGAACAAAUAUUUAAUGGGCCUUUAAUCUUCUACCCCUAAAAUUUUUUCCAGUUGGUUCUAGUUUUAUCUUAUGGAGCUAAAUGUAUGGAAAAUGAUUCAAAGAACCUUCCUUCAAGUAGUAGAAAUCAUCUUCUAGAUUUUAUCUUUCCCAAUCUAAAAAUACAUUGUUGUUUCAACAAUUCCAUGAAUAACAUGGAUUGUGGAUUUUUAUCAUCCUGGUUACUUUUCUCUUGGACUGCCAAACAUUUAAGUGCGGAACAAGAACUGUCUGCAAUAAAACAUAAUGAAUGUUUAUGCUAAAUUUUUAAGCAUCGACAGCUUCUAUUCAACUGAUGUAUCUCAGAACACAAAAGAGUACUUGCUGUUUCGGGAAAUUUGGUUCCUGUCUCCUUCUCUGAUCUGAAUUGUUAUGUUGAUAAAUUUGCCAUAUUCUGCUGAAGAACAAAUUCUGGCAUCUUCACUGAGGAAUCAGUGUCUGCCUCUAAUACUUCUUUCUGUGAAAUCCUGACCUGAAGUCUCCUCUAUCAUCCCAAAGAUUUAAAAAAGAUUAAAGGUGAGGCAUGGGUUUCUCUGGCCUGCUUUGGUAAAUUUAUGUGCUCACAUAACUCAUUAAUUGUUUAGGUUUAAUUCAAGACAAAUACCUGCACGUUUAUGUUUGACACUAGUAUUUAUCAAAUCCCAAAGCUGAUCUGAACCCUAAACAAACCAUAUUCUUGGCAGCUCCUCCAAAUAACACACAUAGCAAAUAUAUUGACAUCAGUUGUACUUUAAAAUGUCAACUCUGCUUUUCCUUUUCUCAUGGUGCUAAUAAAAGAUUUUAUUUAAAAACGCUAAACUUGGGAAUGAAUGCCAAAUUCCUCUCUUACCAUUCAGUAGGUCUUUUCCUGUUUUAGGUGUAGGCUAUGGAUUAUUUCAUUUGACCUUCUUGCUGUUUACCUGGUUAUAAUAUGUGAAAAUACAAAAUUUAAAGUCUCCAUUAUGCUAUGGGAACGUAAAACUUUUUUAUUUUUUAAGAGAAUCUGUAAAUAUGUACAUUUCAGAGCUACCACAACUAGAAUUAUCUUUACUGUUAAUUAAUUAAUCAAAAAUAUGGUGGACAUUAUUAACAAUAAGCCCUGAAGCAACAUUUUUGGAAAUGACCUAAAAGAAUUGCUGGACUGUCAUUCAAAGUUCAAUAAAAAUGCCUUAUAGGAACUUUUCUCUUGGACUAACACGUCAUGAUGGAGUUGAACAAGCAGUAGAUUAACAUCUGAACACCAAUUUUAAAUUACAGUGUUGUGUGAUAUUAAUAGAGUGAUUGUAAUUAAGUAACUAGGCCUCCUUUGAUCUUGUUUGCCUUAUCUGUUAAAUAAUCUACUCUUACCAUCACCAUCACUAAUGAUAAAAACAUUUAAAAUAUUGCUACUUGUGCUAGGCAGAAUCAUGGCCUCAAAGAUGUCUAUGACUUAGUCUCUGGAACCUGUAACUAUGUUAGCUCACAUGGUACAACGGACUUUUCAGAGGUGAUUAAAUUAAAAAUCUUGACAUGGGGAGAUUAUCCAGGAUUGCCUGGGAGAAUGGGCAUUGUAAUCACUUGGGUUCUUAAAAGUGAAAGAGGGAGGGAGGGAGGGAGGGAGGGAGGGAGGGAGGGGAUAUGAGAAUAGAAGCAGAGUCAGAGUGAUGCAGCUUAAGAAACACCUGACUGUAUAUUGCUGCCUGGCUUCGAAGGUGGAAGGGACCAUGAGCUAAGGAAUGGAGGUGGCGUCUAGAAGCUGGAAGAGGCAAGCACACAGAUUCUCCCCUAGAGCCUCUGGAAGGAAGGCACACCUGCCAACACCUUGAUUUUAGUCCAGUGAGACCUGUUUUGGACUUCGACUUCUGACAAUGUAAUACAAUCAAUUUGUGUUGUUUUAAGCCACUAAGUUUGUGGUAAUUUGUUGUUGCAGUAAUAAGAAACGAAUACACUACUUCAUUAGAUUACUGUAAUGAUUCCAAAAUUUAAUAGAUUAUGAGAAAGCACUUUGUAAACUGAAGUACGAUAGAAAUGUUAAUUAUUAUUGAUAAAAUUAAAGUAGGUUCUAACAACUCUAAUUAGAAGGAUGAGGUCUGUUUCAAAUAAAAUCCAGAUUAGAGAUGGGCUAGUGAGUCUUUGCCAUUUUCAUAAACUUUCAUAGGGAUCCUCCCCAAAAUGAAUUAACAGAACUAUUAAAAGCAACCCCUCUGGGACCAAUCUGAAAUUAAUUUUUCAGCUUUAUCGCUGAAACAUUCUCUAAACCAUAAAUUAAUAGGAAGCAAUAAUUCUCCCCUGAGCAGAGCAAAUGCUUAAGUUGCAGGUCCACUGGUAUAGCACACAAGCGGCCUGAGGAUAAAUCCAUCUUUGGUGGUGGAAAAUUCUUAAGUCAAAGAAAAAUAUAUUAUAUGUCAUAGCCCACUGUAGUGUAAUUCUAAUGGUAAGUUAUUUUUCAGUUUUGUAGCCUGCAUACAUAUAUAGAGGAAACAUCUUCCAGCUCAAGAAAGAACUCUGUUCUCGCCUUCUCCCUUCUAAUCUCAGUCACUAGUUGUUACCAUUAAUUAACCCUCAUGAGAAAAACCUGAUGACAUCGUUUAUUGGCAACAGACUAUAAUGAUAUUCCAAUUGAAACAAAUUAAUAGGGGUGAUCCCUUUUUAGCCAGCAGUUUCCUAUUUUUUGUACCUGAAAACUAUUUUGUAUUCAGGAACAAUAAUAUUUAAAAUUUAAGUCAACUGAUAUGUUUGUUUUAAGCUAUUUACUUAUUUAGCAUUGUGUAGAAAAUUAAUUGGCUAAAAAUCUUCACUGUUAUUCUAGAUAUCUUGUUAUCAAAAGGAACACUUCUGUAUUCUCAAAAUUAUUAGUUUGUCCUUGCAGUGAUUUUCAAAAGCAUAUCGAUGGUUGAAAUUAAAACUAAUUUGUCUAUUACAGACAUGACCUUGGUUUCAAACAGGUUCUGAUAAAUCUAGCCAGUGCAGCACAAACGGGAAAAAAAAAAGACAUUGGAAAGAACAUGGCUUAGCUACUGAACAUUGUAGGGACACUGAGUCUAUAAUUUCACUCUGGACCUUGAAUGAAAACAUGUUUCAUUUAAAUUUAUUGCUACACAAAAUUAUUUUAAUCUGGCAAUUACGUAACAAAAAACUCCAGGGGAAAUUUGAGCCACUAGACUUCUGGUAGUUGUAGUCGUUUACAAAAAGAGAGGACUGGAAUGAUACUAGGGUGAACGUGCAGUUCUGCCUCCAGGACUUAAAGGAUGCCAGGGGAAUAUGGAUUUUAUUUAUAAGGAAUUCUCCUUGGGCCCAAACCUAAAACAGUCGGGUGUGGCAUGCAUUUUAGCAGCACGAUGCGAACAGAAAAUGAACAGAAUUUUGGUUUGCUUUGGUGUAUUUAGUUUUUUGGACUUUGUCCAAUAAAACUAAAUGAUUUUUUUUUUUUUUGCAUUUGUAACUCUUGUCCUAAACUGCAACAGCUUUUGCAAAAAGUAGAUUGGCACCUACAGUUGACUUGCCAGUGGAAGUUCUUGGACACCUUUCUACAAGAAUGCAGUCCCCUCUGACCAUUGGAUUCAUCUUACUCUACCCUAGGGGGCCUAGGAAACUUCAGGCUUUCCAGUGCCUAGACGGAGCAUCCCUGCUUCCUAGUAUCAGCUUCCUUCACUGUGUAGCUGCCUUAGAACCAAGCUAAGCACAGGAAUGCCUCUGCGGAGGCAGCCUUGCGUGGCACCAGGGAAUGUUGCUUUGUUUAUUCAUACUCCAUCUCCUAAAUUUUUUUUUUUCCCCAGACAGGGUCUCAGCGCAAUCAAGGCUCGCUACAGCCUCAACCUCCUGGGCUCAAGCAAUCCUCCCGCCUCAAUCACCCAAGUAGCUGGAACUACAGGGGUCUUUCUGUGUUGCCUAGGCUGAUCGCAAGCUCCUGGGCUCAAGUGAUCCUCCCAUCUUGGCUCCCAGACUGCUAGGAUUACAGGCACGAGACACUGUGCCCAGGCCCAAAUUCUGUACUUCUCCCAGCUAUUGUGAAGCCUCCGACAUGGUCUGUUCUGAUUCUGUCACCUUUCUCUUCCUUCUCAAGCCCCAGUAGGGGCCUUGCCUCUCCAGCGUACCCUGCUUUUGGAGAUCUUGCCUCCAUGUUUCCAUUAUUGAUGGAGGGACCGUGGCAGGACUUUGCUUUCCAAUGUCACUAUUAUGUCAGCAGGCUAGCCCUGAACCCCACACAGUAAGACCCCUUAUGUGAGGGUUUUACACCUACUUGAUCUUAUUCCUCUUUCCAGGUGAGCACCACACACUGACCUAGCUAGGCUCAGGGUAAGGUAGCUCUUGCUCAUUUUGGCCAGGUAUUUAAUUACGUGACAUUCACAGUGUGCCUUUCUACUUAUCUUUUUAUCCUUUUCAGUUCAAGAAACGUGGCUAUACCAACUUGCCACAGUGCCCAUCCCACUUUGUAGAAGACUUUGAUAUCUGACUCACAGAGAAACUCCUGCCAGGAGUUUAUAUUGUGUGCAGCUGAUUCAGGCAGUAACUUCCACUCAGCGAGGGGGUCCAUUUACAAAAAAUUACUUCUCUUCCUUUUAUGCCCAGUAUGGUUCUUAAAAUCAACCAGACCUAUCUUUCACCAGCACGACUUGGUUCUUUUAAACCACAGUAUUUCUGCUUCUUCUAGUUGGAAAACUUUAAUAUGAGAUUGAAGAUAUGAUUUGCUUUCUGGAUUGUUGUAUGCUACUAAAACCGAAGAAAGAGAAGGAAAAAUGGAUGAAUCGACGGACCAUAUCACCCUGGCACCUAUAUCAGCUCAAAAACUGAAGGAAAUACCCCUUUCCUGCCCUCUCUUUGACUAAUGCUAUAGACUCUGAGUCAGUAGUUCCUGGUGGGACCUGAGAGUCCACAUUCCUGAUGAGCUCCAGGUGUUCCCAUGCUGCUGCCCCUCUGACCACACUUAGAAUAAGAAGGCUUGAAAUGAAAUCUGAGAAAUCAGCCUCUUGAUUCCAAUUUUAAACAUGCAAUUGAUUCUUGUAAUUUUUCAUUCUUGUCAAAAUGCAUACCAGUAAGUUUGUAAUCAGUAUUGGCAUGCUUAAAAGAAUUUAAGACUUGUUAUAUUUGUCAUUUUAAUUUAUUUAAACUUUAAAGAUUUGUUCAGAACUUGGAAAGAUUUUGCUUAAGCUCAUAAAUUUACCCACUCAGGCAUAUGAGAUAGGGUACUUUGAUUUAUAAAUGAAGUUUAAAAUUAAGGGAAUUUAAUUAAGUUUUCAAAAUGAGAUUGGUUGUUUUAAGGGGAAUUUACUUUGUGUAACUUGAGUUCAUCAAACGCUAAUCCAAGUUCCCUGCAAAACCUGUUCUGUUUUAUAUAACAUUUACUCGUUUUAGAAAUAGAUGAGAUUUGCAAAUUGAACCUAAAGACUUAAGGCAAAUUAUGUAUCUUUUUAUACUUUAAUAAAGAAAAAUAAAAUAAAUUUGAAACACAAAUAACUCUAACUGGCCCUUUUUAUGUAAAAAGAAGUCCUUGAAUAAAAUUUACCUUGACAGCACUAGCAAUUCCGCAACUCUGGCGUGUGUCUUUGAAAAUGUCUUAUUUCCUCUGCGUUGCCCAGCCUCCUCUCUUGAUGGUUCUGCUGGGGGUGGUGGGGAGCGGUUGGAGCGGGGGAACACACAUCUGGGAAUACUUUUCUACCUCAUUCAGGGCAUCUAGCUGACUCCUUAGUGGGCGGGCUUCCUAAUGGAUUCCUGGGGCUUCUGC